AGCGGUUCUGACGCGGACACAGCGAAAACAACCUCUAGAGGCCCAGCUCCCUAAAACAGCUGAUUCUCAGGUCCAGAACAGGCUCUGUCGGUUGGGAGUAAUGCCCAAACGACGCAGAAUGGGCCGCAGGAUGCAGGAACAUGGCCUGCCUAUAUUCAAUGUAAAGUUAUUUUGGCACUACUGUGAAUUCAUCACUCUAUUCUCCAACAUAGAAAAGUUGCCUCCAAAUAAAUCUAUAGUAACCAAGAAUUCCAACAAAUGUAUCGACCUAAAAAUACCACUGUGUCAAUUUCAC